GACGAACCUUGCUAACGUUAUUCGGAAUCACUGGGCUUAAAGGGUGCGUAGGCUGUGCAGAAAGUUGGGUGUGAAAUCCCUCGGCUUAACCGAGGAACUGCGCCCAAAACUACUGUGCUUGAGGGAGAUAGAGGUGAGCGGAACUGAGGGUGGAGCGGUGAAAUGCGUUGAUAUCCUCAGGAACACCCGUGGCGAAAGCGGCUCACUGGGUCUCUUCUGACGCUGAGGAGCGAAAGCGUGGGGAGCGAACAGG
rnacentral:rRNA from 1 species